CUUCGGGCCUCUUGCCAUCGGAUGUGCCCAGAUGGGAUUAGCUAGUAGGUGGGGUAACGGCUCACCUAGGCGACGAUCCCUAGCUGGUCUGAGAGGAUGACCAGCCACACUGGAACUGAGACACGGUCCAGACUCCUACGGGAGGCAGCAGUGGGGAAUAUUGCACAAUGGGCGCAAGCCUGAUGCAGCCAUGCCGCGUGUAUGAAGAAGGCCUUCGGGUUGUAAAGUACUUUCAGCGGGGAGGAAGGGAGUAAAGUUAAUACCUUUAAUCAUUGACGUUACCCGCAGAAGAAGCACCGGCUAACUCCGUGCCAGCAGCCGCGGUAAUACGGAGGGUGCAAGCGUUAAUCGGAAUUACUGGGCGUAAAGCGCACGCAGGCGGUUUGUUAAGUCAGAUGUGAAAUCCCCGGGCUCAACCUGGGAACUGCAUCUGAUACUGGCAAGUUUGAGUCUCGUAGAGGGGGGUAGAAUUCCAGGUGUAGCGGUGAAAUGCGUAGAGAUCUGGAGGAAUACCGGUGGCGAAGGCGGCCCCCUGGACGAAGACUGACGCUCAGGUGCGAAAGCGUGAGGAGCAAACAGGAUUAGAUACCCUGGUAGUCCACGCCGUAAACGAUGUCGACUUGGAGGUUGUGCCCUUGAGGCGUGGCUUCCGGAGCUAACGCGUUAAGUCGACCGCCUGGGGAGUACGGCCGCAAGGUUAAAACUCAAAUGAAUUGACGGGGGCCCGCACAAGCGGUGGAGCAUGUGGUUUAAUUCGAUGCAACGCGAAGAACCUUACCUGGUCUUGACAUCCACGGAAGUUUUCAGAGAUGAGAAUGUGCCUUCGGGAACCGUGAGACAGGUGCUGCAUGGCUGUCGUCAGCUCGUGUUGUGAAAUGUUGGGUUAAGUCCCGCAACGAGCGCAACCCUUAUCCUUUGUUGCCAGCGGUCCGGCCGGGAACUCAAAGGAGACUGCCAGUGAUAAACUGGAGGAAGGUGGGGAUGACGUCAAGUCAUCAUGGCCCUUACGACCAGGGCUACACACGUGCUGCAAUGGCGCAUACAAAGAGAAGCGACCUCGCGAGAGCAAGCGGACCUCAUAAAGUGCGUCGUAGUCCGGAUUGGAGUCUGCAACUCGACUCCAUGAAGUCGGAAUCGCUAGUA
rnacentral:rRNA from 1 species